rnacentral:rRNA from 1 species
CCCGCCUGUGGAGUACGGUCGCAAGACUAAAACAUAAAGGAAUUGACGGGGACCCGCACAAGCGGUGGAGCGUGUUGUUUAAUUCGAUGGUAAGCGAAGAACCUUACCCAGACUUGACAUCCUUGGAAGCACUGCGAAAGCAGAGUGUGCCUCCGGGAACCAAGUGACAGGUGUUGCAUGGCCGUCGUCAGCUCGUGUCGUGAGAUGUUUGGUUAAGUCCAUCAACGAGCGCAACCCUUGUGGCUAGUUGAAUUUUUCUAGUCAGACUGCCCUGGUAACAGGGAGGAAGGAGGGGAUGAUGUCAGGUCAGUAUUACCCUUACGUCUGGGGCUACAAACACGCUACAAUGGCCGGUACAAAGGGCUGCCAAGUCGCGAGACGGAGCAAAUCCCAUCAAAACCGGUCCCAGUUCGGAUUGCAGGCUGAAACUCGCCUGCAUGAAGUCGGAAUCGCUAGUAACGGUAGGUCAGCACACUACCGUGAAUACGUUCCCGGGUCUUGUACACACCGCCCGUCAAACCAUGAAAGUCGCCAAUACCUGACGUCUUAGCUAGUCUAGGCCUAAGGUAGGGGAGAUGAUUGGGGUUAAGUCGUAACAAGGUAACAAUCGAAUUUCCCGCGGCCGCCAUGGCGUGCAGGAGCACAACUGUCGGCCUGUA